UUAAGCGACUAAGCGUACACGGUGGAUGCCCACGGCAGUCAGAGGCGAUGAAGGACGUGCUAAUCUGCGAUAAGCGUCGGUAAGGUGAUAUGAACCGUUAUAACCGGCGAUUUCCGAAUGGGGAAACCCAGUGUGUUUCGACACACUAUCAUUAACUGAAUCCAUAGGUUAAUGAGGCGAACCGGGGGAACUGAAACAUCUAAGUACCCCGAGGAAAAGAAAUCAACCGAGAUUCCCCCAGUAGCGGCGAGCGAACGGGGAGCAGCCCAGAGCCUGAAUCAGUGUGUGUGUUAGUGGAAGCGUCUGGAAAGGCGCGCGAUACAGGGUGACAGCCCCGUACACAAAAAUGCACAUGCUGUGAGCUCGAUGAGUAGGGCGGGACACGUGGUAUCCUGUCUGAAUAUGGGGGGACCAUCCUCCAAGGCUAAAUACUCCUGACUGACCGAUAGUGAACCAGUACCGUGAGGGAAAGGCGAAAAAGAACCCCCGGCGAGGGGAGUGAAAAAGAACCUGAAACCGUGUACGUACAAGCAGUGGGAGCACGCUUAGGCGUGUGACUGCGUACCUUUUGUAUAAUGGGUCAGCGACUUAUAUUCUGUAGCAAGGUUAACCGAAUAGGGGAGCCGAAGGGAAACCGAGUCUUAACUGGGCGUUAAGUUGCAGGGUAUAGACCCGAAACCCGGUGAUCUAGCCAUGGGCAGGUUGAAGGUUGGGUAACACUAACUGGAGGACCGAACCGACUAAUGUUGAAAAAAUUAGCGGAUGACUUGUGGCUGGGGGGUGAAAGGCCAAUCAAACCGGGAGAUAGCUGGUUCUCCCCGAAAGCUAUUUAGGUAGCGCCUCGUGAAUUCAUCUCCGGGGGUAGAGCACUGUUUCGGCAAGGGGGUCAUCCCGACUUACCAACCCGAUGCAAACUGCGAAUACCGGAGAAUGUUAUCACGGGAGACACACGGCGGGUGCUAACGUCCGUCGUGAAGAGGGAAACAACCCAGACCGCCAGCUAAGGUCCCAAAGUCAUGGUUAAGUGGGAAACGAUGUGGGAAGGCCCAGACAGCCAGGAUGUUGGCUUAGAAGCAGCCAUCAUUUAAAGAAAGCGUAAUAGCUCACUGGUCGAGUCGGCCUGCGCGGAAGAUGUAACGGGGCUAAACCAUGCACCGAAGCUGCGGCAGCGACGCUGAUGCGUUGUUGGGUAGGGGAGCGUUCUGUAAGCCUGCGAAGGUGUGCUGUGAGGCAUGCUGGAGGUAUCAGAAGUGCGAAUGCUGACAUAAGUAACGAUAAAGCGGGUGAAAAGCCCGCUCGCCGGAAGACCAAGGGUUCCUGUCCAACGUUAAUCGGGGCAGGGUGAGUCGACCCCUAAGGCGAGGCCGAAAGGCGUAGUCGAUGGGAAACAGGUUAAUAUUCCUGUACUUGGUGUUACUGCGAAGGGGGGACGGAGAAGGCUAUGUUGGCCGGGCGACGGUUGUCCCGGUUUAAGCGUGUAGGCUGGUUUUCCGAGCAAAUCCGGAAAAUCAAGGCUGAGGCGUGAUGACGAGGCACUACGGUGCUGAAGCAACAAAUGCCCUGCUUCCGGGGAAAAGCCUCUAAGCAUCAGGUAACAUCAAAUCGUACCCCCAAACCGACACAGGUGGUCAGGUAGAGAAUACCAAGGCGCUUGAGAGAACUCGGGUGAAGGAACUAGGCAAAAUGGUGCCGUAACUUCGGGAGAAGGCACGCUGAUAUGUAGGUGAAGUCCCUCGCGGAUGGAGCUGAAAUCAGUCGAAGAUACCAGCUGGCUGCAACUGUUUAUUAAAAACACAGCACUGUGCAAACACGAAAGUGGACGUAUACGGUGUGACGCCUGCCCGGUGCCGGAAGGUUAAUUGAUGGGGUUAGCCGCAAGGCGAAGCUCUUGAUCGAAGCCCCGGUAAACGGCGGCCGUAACUAUAACGGUCCUAAGGUAGCGAAAUUCCUUGUCGGGUAAGUUCCGACCUGCACGAAUGGCGUAAUGAUGGCCAGGCUGUCUCCACCCGAGACUCAGUGAAAUUGAACUCGCUGUGAAGAUGCAGUGUACCCGCGGCAAGACGGAAAGACCCCGUGAACCUUUACUAUAGCUUGACACUGAACAUUGAGCCUUGAUGUGUAGGAUAGGUGGGAGGCUUUGAAGUGUGGACGCCAGUCUGCAUGGAGCCGACCUUGAAAUACCACCCUUUAAUGUUUGAUGUUCUAACGUUGACCCGUAAUCCGGGUUGCGGACAGUGUCUGGUGGGUAGUUUGACUGGGGGCGGUCUCCUCCUAAAGAGUAACGGAGGAGCACGAAGGUUGGCUAAUCCUGGUCGGACAUCAGGAGGUUAGUGCAAUGGCAUAAGCCAGCUUGACUGCGAGCGUGACGGCGCGAGCAGGUGCGAAAGCAGGUCAUAGUGAUCCGGUGGUUCUGAAUGGAAGGGCCAUCGCUCAACGGAUAAAAGGUACUCCGGGGAUAACAGGCUGAUACCGCCCAAGAGUUCAUAUCGACGGCGGUGUUUGGCACCUCGAUGUCGGCUCAUCACAUCCCGGGGCUGAAGUAGGUCCCAAGGGUAUGGCUGUUCGCCAUUUAAAGUGGUACGCGAGCUGGGUUUAGAACGUCGUGAGACAGUUCGGUCCCUAUCUGCCGUGGGCGCUGGAGAACUGAGGGGGGCUGCUCCUAGUACGAGAGGACCGGAGUGGACGCAUCACUGGUGUUCGGGUUGUCAUGCCAAUGGCACUGCCCGGUAGCUAAAUGCGGAAGAGAUAAGUGCUGAAAGCAUCUAAGCACGAAACUUGCCCCGAGAUGAGUUCUCCCUGACCCUUUAAGGGUCCUGAAGGAACGUUGAAGACGACGACGUUGAUAGGCCGGGUGUGUAAGCGCAGCGAUGCGUUGAGCUAACCGGUACUAAUGAACCGUGAGGCUUAACCU
rnacentral:rRNA from 1 species